GCCAGUGUGGCAUAAUGGUUUAAGCGUUGGAUUAUGACUCUGGAGACCAGGGUUCAAUUUCCCACUCUGCCA